rnacentral:snRNA from 1 species
GUGCUUGCUUCAGCAGUAUAUAUACUAAAAUUGGAACAAUACAGAGAAUGUUAGCAUGGCCCCUGCAAAAAAAAAAAAAAAAAAGAAUGAAAAAAGAAAAUU